GUCUCCGCGCCCUCCUCGGCAACCCCAUCGCUGCUGGCACCCAACCAAUUACUCUCUGCACCCAUCUGCCAUUCCCAUCGCUGCUGCCCUACGUGCGACACCCAGCAGCCCCGCGCACAGCCCGCAUCAACCAUCCUCCCUGCCAGCCCAGCCUGCCACGCAUGUUGCAGCCCCGCCUAGCGCCUGCGCCUUGAGCCUUGCAGCAGCACGCAUGGCCUCCAGCCUAGCCCAGGUCACUCCCCGGCCUGCGCAGCCUCCAGAUUGGCCUUCCCCCCUGCGCGCCUCCCAUAUGCACACACUGCUGCCCAACCCGCAGCCCAGUCGCUACCCAGCCCCGCAGCCCGACGUAUCCCAUGCCAUGCAGCCGCCCUGCAUCGUUGCAUAUCCCAGCAGCCUAGCGCAUCCAGAUCGGCCUUCCCCCCUCCUGCCCACCUCGCCUAGCCUCGCACGGCUCG
rnacentral:lncRNA from 1 species